CAACUACUCCCUCUGUCCCAAAUUUCUUGUCUUAGAUUUGUCUAGAUAUGGAUGUAUCUAACACUAAAAUGUGACUUGAUACAUCCGUAUCUAGACAAAUCUAAGACAAGAAUUUUGGGACGGAGGGAGUACUUU
rnacentral:pre_miRNA from 1 species